UACGUAGGGAGCAAGCGUUGUCCGGAAUCAUUGGGCGUAAAGCGCGCGUAGGUGGCUUCGUAAGUCCGUUGUGAAAGUCAAAGGCUCAACCUUUGAAAGCCGAUGGAUACUGCGGAGCUAGAGUACGGAAGAGGCGAGUGGAAUUCCUGGUGUAGCGGUGAAAUGCGCAGAUAUCAGGAGGAACACCAAUGGCGAAGGCAGCUCGCUGGAACGGUACUGACGCUGAGGCGCGAAAGCGUGGGGAGCGAACAGG
rnacentral:rRNA from 1 species